GAUCGCGUGCUCGAGAGGCUAGAGAUCUGUCUGCAAAACAGAUUACGCGGGUUCGAAUCCCGCCGCGAUCU
rnacentral:tRNA from 1 species